UACGGGGGGGGUAAGCGUUGUUCGGAAUUACUGGGCGUAAAGGGCUCGUAGGCGGCCAACUAAGUCAUACGUGAAAUCCCUCAGCUUAACUGGGGAACUGCGUGUGAUACUGGAUGGCUUGGAUUUGGGAGAGGGAUGCGGAAUUCCAGGUGUAGCGGUGAAAUGCGUAGAUAUCAGGAGGAACGCCGGAGGCGAAAGCGAGUGACUGGCGCGUUCCUGACGCUGAGGUGCGAAAGCUAGGGGAGCAAACAGG
rnacentral:rRNA from 1 species